ensembl:lncRNA
GAAGGUUCAGCUGCUGCGUGUUCCCGGGAGAAAAAGGCCACAACUUCAGAAACAUGGUGAAAAAAAAAUCCUCCCCUGAAGUGUUAAUGGGUAAAUGUGACACUGCAAUCAACACAUCAGUGCAGGAUUUUUACGCCUUCGAGCACGAAAUAAAGAGCAAAGUAAAACAAUAGUAUUCACCUCAUCUAAUGAGAACCACAUGCACCUGCUUUGCUUUGCUAGCUAAUAUACUGAAAGUAAAAACUAACAAGUAGCUAAUUUUAAUGUGAGUGCAUUUCAAUACAUUUAAAAACACAUUUUUCACUGUCAGUCU